AUUGAACGCUGGCGGCAGGCCUAACACAUGCAAGUCGAACGAGUGGCGGACGGGUGAGUAAUGUCGGGGAAACUGCCCGAUGGAGGGGGAUAACUACAGGAAACGGUAGCUAAUACCGCAUACCAUCCGAUGUGCCCAGAUGGGAUGUGCUUGUUGGUGGGGUAACGGCUCACCAAGGCGACGAUCCGUCACUGGUCGGAGAGGAUGAUCAGUCACAUUGGAACUGAGACACGGUCCAUACUCCUACGGGAGGCAGCAUUGGGGAAUAUUGGACAAUGGGCGAAAGCCUGAUCCAGCCAUGCCGCGUGUGUGAAGAAGGUCUUCGGAUUGUAAAGCACUUUGAGUUGGGAGGCGUUACCAAAAGAAUAAGCACCGGCUAACUUCGUGCCAGCAGCCGCGGUAAUAC
rnacentral:rRNA from 1 species